UACGGAGGGUGCAACCGUUGCUCGGAAUCAUUGGGCGUAAAGCGCACGUAGGCGGUCGGCUAUGUCGGAUGUGAAAGCCUCGGGCUUAACCCGAGAAGGGCAUCCGAAACUGGCCGGCUUGAGUACGGAAGAGGGUCUCGGAAUUCCCGGUGUAGAGGUGAAAUUCGUAGAUAUCGGGAGGAACACCAGUGGCGAAGGCGGAGACCUGGGCCGAUACUGACGCUGAGGUGCGACAGCGUGGGGAGCAAACAGG
rnacentral:rRNA from 1 species